GACGAACGCUGGCGGCGUGCCUAAUACAUGCAAGUCGAACGAGUGGCGGACGGGUGAGUAACACGUGGGAACCUACCCAUCAGAGGGGGAUAACACUUGGAAACAGGUGCUAAUACCGCAUACUGAUGGAUGGACCCGCGGUGCAUUAGCUUGUAGGUGAGGUAACGGCUCACCUAGGCGACGAUCCCUAGCUGGUCUGAGAGGAUGAUCAGCCACACUGGGACUGAGACACGGCCCAGACUCCUACGGGAGGCAGCAGUGGGGAAUAUUGCACAAUGGGCGCAAGCCUGAUGCAGCCAUGCCGCGUGUAUGAAGAAGGCCUUCGGGUUGUAAAGUACUUUCAGCGAGGAGGCGUUACUCGCAGAAGAAGCACCGGCUAACUCCGUGCCAGCAGCCGCGGUAAUUC
rnacentral:rRNA from 1 species